rnacentral:piRNA from 1 species
UAGUCCAUAACUACAAGAGUCCAG